AGGUGUAGACAGAAACGGAAUGUUGCGUCUUCAGAACCUAAAUGUUUGUAUCUUAUGCGCUGCUAUUAAGUGUCUUUUUCAGUUCAUGUGUUAUCUAAUAAGCAUGGAGACUUUUUAUUAGACUGAAUUAGCCAUGCAGGCUAGCUAUGGAUAAACAGAUCUCAGGCAUAGAGUCAUGAAUCAAAUCUAUAAACAAUAAUAUUUUUAUUACACUUAGAAUAUGCUAUCUUUUACUAUGUUCAUUUGAUCAAAAGCAUCAUCUUGUACAAUUCAACUUUUAUCCCAAAAGCAUCAUGCAACAUUUCUUUUGUCAACAUUGGAGAAAAGUUGGGCAUCCAUCAGCAUUUUCUUGAUUCUCGCGAACAUUUUUUCUUAUUCACUACAUAAGUUAUGAGAUUGAAAGUUGAUUGGCUCACUGCUUUGUUUGAAAUGUAUAAUUGACUGCAUUUUUGGAUGACUUGUUAUUUCCAACAGGGAACAGUUUGAUCCAAAAGUUUUCACAGAUGCAAAUUCCUUGAUGCCGUAGACAUCGGAUGCAGAUCAGCAUUCUAUCUCUCUCAGUCUUGACAUAGAUUCUGCAGUUGUAGCAAGAAAUCUCUGUUUUGGCUUGCUGCUUGGUCCACUUUUUAGGUGUUCUUAGGUAGGAAAAACAAGCCACAGUAUGGAUUUGUGAUAUUUGUUAGACAACAGGUCAACAGCAACAAUAACGUCGUCGCUGUCUGUUGAGGAACAAUGGCAAGAGGCACACUGCAAACAAGGAUACAGUUCAGGUCUCUUGUUCUUUCUUUUCCCCCACUCCAUCCCCACUGCAUUCAUUCCUGGACAAAGCUUAACCCUUCAUGUGUUCCUUUCAUCUUUUGAGCAGGAAAAACAUCUCUGCACCAACCAGGAGAAUAUCAGUGGGAGCAGUGUCCAGAAAGGCAGCCGCUUAUGGCUCGGCGGCAUAUAGGCUCCAGACGACGCACCUCAUCUCGCUCACUGGUCGCUGGUCGAUUUAUCCUGCAUAAUCGGUGAUUUUGGUGCUGGUCUGUGGUGUCACAAAUGUCUAGCACCUUACUGAACACUGCGUGCAGUGAGGGAGAAGUUAUGUUCUCGAACGUCUAGUGUAGAGACCAGAGUGGUUCCAUCUACGAGCUUGCUUUUCUUCCAUGUACGAGAGUUCCCUUCUGUACUAGGCACGUUUUUGUUAGUGUUCUAGUGUGUGUGUGGCGCGCGCGUGUGUGUGAAUUCAUGUAGAUUUUACCUGUAUUCUUAACUUAAUUUUACUGACAAGUUCUGUCACCUGUUACCUCUGUGAGAUAUAAAUUGUUUCUAUUCACAAGUGUGAAUUGAUCAAAUGGGUUAUAUAUUUUCAUGGAGAGAGAAAAUGACAAAUGGGGCUUAAAUUUUCUUUUUAGCGUACUGAAGCUUAAAUUUACGAUUAGGAAUCAGCGACCUUUUUUUCCUUUUG
rnacentral:lncRNA from 1 species